GACGAACGCUGGCGGUGUGCUUAACACAUGCAAGUCGAACGGAAAGGCCCUGCUUUUGUGGGGUGCUCGAGUGGCGAACGGGUGAGUAACACGUGAGUAACCUGCCCUUGACUUUGGGAUAACUUCAGGAAACUGGGGCUAAUACCGGAUAGGAGCUCCUGCUGCAUGGUGGGGGUUGGAAAGUUUCGGCGGUUGGGGAUGGACUCGCGGCUUAUCAGCUUGUUGGUGGGGUAGUGGCUUACCAAGGCUUUGACGGGUAGCCGGCCUGAGAGGGUGACCGGCCACAUUGGGACUGAGAUACGGCCCAGACUCCUCCGGGAGGCAGCAGUGGGGAAUAUUGCACAAUGGGCGGAAGCCUGAUGCAGCAACGCCGCGUGCGGGAUGACGGCCUUCGGGUUGUAAACCGCUUUCGCCUGUGACGAAGCGUGAGUGACGGUAAUGGGUAAAGAAGCACCGGCUAACUACGUG
rnacentral:rRNA from 1 species